CAAGUCGAACGAUGAUCCGGUGCUUGCACCGGGGAUUAGUGGCGAACGGGUGAGUAACACGUGAGUAACCUGCCCUUGACUCUGGGAUAAGCCUGGGAAACCGGGUCUAAUACCGGAUACGACCUGUCACCGCAUGGUGGUUGGUGGAAAGAUUUAUUGGUUUUGGAUGGACUCGCGGCCUAUCAGCUUGUUGGUGAGGUAAUGGCUCACCAAGGCGACGACGGGUAGCCGGCCUGAGAGGGUGACCGGCCACACUGGGACUGAGACACGGCCCAGACUCCUACGGGAGGCAGCAGUGGGGAAUAUUGCACAAUGGGCGAAAGCCUGAUGCAGCGACGCCGCGUGAGGGAUGACGGCCUUCGGGUUGUAAACCUCUUUCAGCAGGGAAGAAGCGAAAGUGACGG
rnacentral:rRNA from 1 species